AGAUAUGCAAUGCGUGCUCAAUGGCCACAGUCAGGCCCUUUUGGAAAAAACAAAGUCAGGCCGAAUUAGGUUUAUACCAAAUGGCUUCCUCAUAUGCUCCAAUAUAUCCAAUUGCUUGCCAUUUUUAUUUGUCAAAACAAAUUCUUUUAUCUGAAAAAGAGAUUACCUCCUAAACUAAAACUGAGCAGCUUACAUUACACGUAUUUAAAUUUCAGCAUCUACUUGCUGCCGUCUGCUAACUUAAAACCUUUCGUUUAAAAUACAGUAAUUCUUCCACCCCAUCGGCCCUCAUGAUCCAGGCUUAAUCUGAGGGCUGUUGCAUUUUGAUCGAUUUCCAACUGCCGCACUCAAAAGUGCAGGUGAGACCGUGGAGGGUUAACUUCAGUGAAACGGGCCUCACCUGGGAGAGCCCUCCACCAGGUUAAUGCAGGUGGGAUGACAUCAGGGGGCCUGAGUUCUGGGGUCUGAUCUCCUAAGGCUAGACACCAAGGUGUGGUUUGCAGGCUUAAUCUCGUGCUGAGGCAAUGUGGUAGAAGACCUGCGGCACCUCCAGGAAAUCUGGAGGCGUGCGGCCACUUCGUGGAUGAGUGGUUUACGUACAAGAACAAAAUGCAGAAGUUACUGAGGUUUGUCCAGCCACUGAGUUUUUCCAGCAGCCAAGUUUUUUAGGUAGUUUUUAAAAAUUUCCCCAGUGGGGUCCGAUAGAGGAAACAGGGACUGCACCUCCUCCACGGUAGGAGCGUUUGUGCUUUUGCUCUUGGGGUUUUUGCAGGCGUUCGUUCGAGAAGGCUGCUCGGUUUCUCCUCCGAGGGGGUUUUACAGCCUCUCCAGGGCUUGCAGCCUCUGACUGGGGGAAGCAGGAAGGCCUGUCUCUUCCGCGUGUGAGCCUGCUGCUCCCUCCUGUGCACGCUCCCACCUCUGGCAAGGAUGGGUUUUUCCAGGGUUUUUUGUUAGAUGCUUGAGGAGCCGAGGGUCCCAGUAGCCAGCAAGAGAAAACUGUAACGGGUCAACUCCAGUGUGCCAGUUCCAGAUUUCACAGCCUAGGCGCCGCAAUGGUUUAACUGAUUCCCCCUCAUGAACCGUGGCCUGAGGAGCACCCCCAGAAAGUCAGUCUAGCCCAGGGAUAGGCAAGAAAUAAGACACAGAGGAAAAACUACCUGAAAACUCUUAUUUUAAGAGAUAGGGAAGGGCAGCACAGAGGGAAAAGGAUAGACAGGAGAGUGAGGCAGAGGCCAAGGACCCCGUGGGAAGGGAUAGCUGGGUGGGCAGCGAAACCCCUAAGGAAAUGCUGGAGACAGAGCACCAGCGGGAAAAUGGUGACCACUAAACCUAAAGCCACCAGUGACAGCGGAGGAAGCCCAGGGUGUUUGCUGGGAGCGGGAACGGAAGAAGGAAUUUUUCCAGCACUCAACACAAGGUGGCGCCAGACACCCGUGGACGUCAUGAGGUCCCCCUCCUGGUGGGCUCCAGAAGCUGCGAAAAUUCCCUGAAAUUCGAGUCAGGCCGGAUUCAAGGAGAUGGGAAGGAGUAACACAGUGGCCAGACAGACGGAAUCUAAGAAACCUCCGAAGAGAAAAAGAAAGGAACGGGCGGCGGAAUCCCCGCGGGACCGGAGACAGGCUGCAUACUCCUAAGGACUUGUUGCCAGAUUGCUCUGUCCUAGAGCCGCUCGUGAUCCCCAGCCUGUGUGGCUGUGCCUCGGCUUCUUGGCAGCCUGUGAUUCUGGUGCUUGCAUUCACGUGUCUGCAGAGGAGGCUGCAACCUGCCCCACCCCCAUUUUCUGCUCUGCCUUUUCAUUGUCCACAGGACUUAGAAACUCCCAGUAUACUAGUCAAUUCACAUAAUAAAAUAGUUACUAUUAUUAUUUUAUUUUGUAUUACUUUAUUAUUACUGUUUCCCCUUUCCCCCCUUCGGAAUGUAAGCCUCAUGGAGCAAGCAUUUUUGUUCAUUGGACCCUGGCAGUUGUCCCCUGAAUGCAGGACUAAGAAAGCUGGGCUCGAUUCUGGGGUUGGGGGUACCCUCCUGGGUUGAACAAUAGCAAGGACUUCAACAGAUGCUCAGUCUUCCUGUUGUCCUGUUGUUGCCUCUUUUCACUCAUUAGAGAGUCCCGGUGUAAAGGGCCAGGUGAUGGGGGUAAAUCCGAGGGGAGGGGAGGAGGCUUGGGGAGUCAGGAUAUAAGUGCCCCAGGAGAGAGGGAAUAACCCGCUAUGGCGGAGGCAGCCCCUCUACUGUCAGGGGCUAGCACAAUGUCUCCUGCAUGAUUGGGCCUCAAUAAAUGCGUGUGGGGGACAUGGGAAGACAACAGAAUAAUCGAGAGAAAUUUCUGUGUAUUUAUAUAUGCCAGCAAGAAUGGAUGGGCACUGGGACUAAUUGUGAGAGGGACUCAAGCAGAAGAAAGUCAGGGGUCAUUUCUGGGUUCUGGGCCUGGACAGACGACAGAGGGACGGUGGCCCCCGGUGAAGGCUCAGGGAAGAGGGAAGAGAGAGGAUGAGGACCAGUG
rnacentral:lncRNA from 1 species